CGCUCGGGGGGGCCGCCCCAGUGCCCCCAGGGCACCGCAGCCGCCGGGGGUGAGCUGCGCCCGGCAGCGACUGCAGCCUCCGGCUCUGCCCGGCCGGCAGCAGCUGCAGCCCGGCCCUGGGCCUCUGCUUCCCCCCGGCGCUGGCAGGAGGCAGCUCAGGCCUGGCGCUCGGCAGCAGGCCCCAGAUGGCUGCGGGAGCUGUGGCUGUGCCUUUGUCCAGCUGAGGUUGGAGCUUCCUCAGGGCCCUGGGCCAAGCCUACCUCAGCCUGCUGCCAGCAUGGCCUUGGGGACAGCAGCAGAAGCCAAGCUGGACCAGAGCUGCUGCAAGGCCUGGAUGGUCAAGGAAGAGGACUUCCCAGCGCUGGUGGUGGGACAGAGGUGGCACUGCCUGUGAGUGACCUGCAGUCAACCCUGCCACAAGCACAGCCAGGCUGAGUUGAACUUCCUGCACCUGUGCAAUGCCAGCAGACCCCCAGGUGUCCCCUAGGUGUGUCUCCCCCACAGCAAGGCCUGGUAGGUUCCUCUCCCCUCCACUCUUUGUCUUUUCCUCCACAGAGCUGCUGAGGCUUCUCCUCUGCCCCAUGGAGAGGCAUCAGGGGGCUGUGACCAGGCUGGGAGACACAGUCCUGGGCUGUCUUCUGCUUGACCUCAUGUUCCCCAGGAGGAUGUGAAGCCCAUGGACAGCCUCUGGAGCUCCAGCCCUGCCUUCUCCAGAACUUUUUUCCAGAAACAGACUCAUAAGUAGGCUGCUGAGCUCCAUCUGCAGGCCUGGAGGCACUUCCAGGUGUUGUCACCAAGUCCAUGGGUGCCUGAAUCCUGACUCUGAUCUCCCCAUGGGGCUGGGGAUGUCCCCAAGGGGUUGGUUGGUUGACCUCUGGGGCUGAGGACCUCUAUCUGCAUUAGCUUCACAGAGUAGGAGCUGCUGAAGAACCUCCUGCAGCAGCAGGCAGCUGGAGGCUUUCUCACCUCAGCCUCCUGGUGCAGAUGCUGCUGUCGGUGGCACAGAGCUGGGCACAGAGGCUCCAGACUGCCCUCUCGACAAUGCCAUUUGCCUGGGGGUAAUAUGGGGUGUGAAACACCCAUUUCAUCCCUUCACUGCUGCCCAGUCUUGCACUGGGGUUGCAGUGAAGUGUGAUCCAUUGUCACUCUGGAUGCACUCAGGCACUGGCAAGAUGCCAAACCAAGGUUUGAGAGUCUCAGUGGUUUGAGCUCCUGAGGCUGCACUGGUGGCAGUGGCCAUGGUUAAACCAGAGACCACUUCUACACCAACCACUAUGUAUUUCUGUCCAUGUGAUGGCUUGAGGGGUCCCACAUAAUCCACCUGCCAGGUGUUCCAGAGACUUUUGUCCUGGUGGAUAUGUUGGGCUGGUGCAAGGUUUGGGUGGUUGGCCCUCAGCCUCAUCUGGCACUGUGGACAGGCUGAAAUAAUGGUCCCACAUGUUGAGAGGGAGACUGCCCACCCCCGAGGCCUGCACUCGUAGUAGAGAUCAGCUUUGCCUGGAUGUCCCCUUUUAAGGUGCAACCAUUCAGCUAAUCUCUCCCAAUCCUUUUCCCCACUGCUCACCACAUGGAUAGGUGCCAGGCAGUCAGCCUGCUGAUUCCAUGUUGCAGCAGGGGUUUCCUUCUUAGAGUGCCCUUUGACCCACCCCACCUUGAUGGGUCUCGACUGGCCUAUCUCCAGCAGUCUCUGCCAAUCUCCAGCUCUCCAGACCUUGGUGCUGCCAAUCUCCCACUGAUUUGCCUCCCAUUGGCAAAUCCACUCCAGAGCUCCCUUAAAGGUGGCACAGGAGUCUGUGUAGAUGCUUUGGCACCAUUUUCUACAGCUAACAUGAGGGCCUGCAGUUCACCCACUUGUGCACUGCCUUCACCCUCCUCAGCAACAGUCCUGCCUGUACUGAUUUCUAAGGCUGCUGCUUUGUAGUGCCACUGUGAGCCCACCCUCUGGGAAGAGGCCUCUGUGAACCACACUCCCUCGGUGUCAGAGUCUGUGGUUCUCUCCAGAGCUACAUCUAUUGGAGAUGGCUUGUGGGGCUGUCCCAGUAAAGCUGUAUCUGGGUUUGCUGGUUGCUGGAGUUUGGACACCUUGGCUGGACCCUCAGAGGCAUGAGCUGGACAAUUCCCACUUUCUUACAGUGGAUUUUUGGGCUAUCCCCUCUGGUGGAGGGGGUCCCUUGAGAAUUGGUUUAAGCAGGAGGAAAGGUCCUUGCACCACAAUAUCCUGUGUGGUGUGAAGCUUCUCUGCUUCCUUAGCAGCCCUUGUAAGGGAAAGGAGCCCCUUUUCCCAUUCAGAAUACCUCUUCUCAGUGUCCUUGAGCACUGUAGAGGAAAACAAGAGGGCUCCAGUGGGGCCUUUAGGUCCCUUCUGAUAAAUUCCACAAUAGGAG